rnacentral:rRNA from 1 species
AGUGAACGCUGGCGGUAGGCCUAACACAUGCCAAUCGAACGGCAGCACAGUAAGAGCUUGCUCUUACGGGUGGCGAGUGGCGGACGGGUGAGGAAUACAUCGGAAUCUACUUUUUCGUGGGGGAUAACGUAGGGAAACUUACGCUAAUACCGCAUACGACCUACGGGUGAAAGCAGGGGAUCUUCGGACCUUGCGCGAUUGAAUGAGCCGAUGUCGGAUUAGCUAGUUGGCGGGGUAAAGGCCCACCAAGGCGACGAUCCGUAGCUGGUCUGAGAGGAUGAUCAGUCACACUGGAACUGAAACACGGUCCAGACUCCUACGGGAGGCAGCAGUGGGGAAUAUUGGACAAUGGGCGCAAGCCUGAUCCAGCCAUACCGCGUGGGUGAAGAAGGCCUUCGGGUUGUAAAGCCCUUUUGUUGGGAAAGAAAAGCAGCAGGUUAAUACCCCGCUGUUCUGACGGUACCCAAAGAAUAAGCACCGGCUAACUUCGUG